AUUGAACGCUGGCGGCAGGCCUAACACAUGCAAGUCGAGCGGAUGAAGGGAGCUUGCUCCUGGAUUCAGCGGCGGACGGGUGAGUAAUGCCUAGGAAUCUGCCUGGUAGUGGGGGAUAACGUCCGGAAACGGGCGCUAAUACCGCAUACGUCCUGCGGGAGAAAGUGGGGGAUCUUCGGACCUCACGCUAUCAGAUGAGCCUAGGUGGGAUUAGCUAGUUGGUGGGGUAAAGGCCUACCAGGGGGCCGACCCGUAACUGGUCUGAGAGGAUGAUCAGUCACACUGGAACGGAGACACGGUCCAGACUCCUACGGGAGGCAGCAGUGGGGAAUAUUGGACAAUGGGCGAAAGCCUGAUCCAGCCAUGCCGCGUGUGUGAAGAAGGUCUUCGGAUUGUAAAGCACUUUAAGUUGGGAGGAAGGGCAGUAAGUUAAUACCUUGCUGUUUUGACGUUACCAACAGAAUAAGCACCGGCUAACUUCGUG
rnacentral:rRNA from 1 species